UCACCCCUCGAGCCCCUGUGGCUUGGCUUUGGACGGUCUGGUCAGGCGACUGACCCCUCCUAAAGACAAUGACGGCGGCCUCGCAGGACCCCCGGUACACUGAGCUUCUUAACUGAGCACGUAUCGGAUUGAGGGUUCUCGGGACACGGUCUCCUUUCCCCCUCCCCUCGGGGCGGUGGGAAAACAAUCUUUCUCA
rnacentral:misc_RNA from 1 species